rnacentral:rRNA from 1 species
UACGAAGGGAGCUAGCGUUACUCGGAAUUACUGGGCGUAAAGCGCGCGCAGACGGCUUUUCAAGUCAGGGGUGAAAUCCUGGGGCUUAACCCUAGAAUUGCCUUUGAAACUGUUAAGCUAGAGUCCGGAAGAGGAUGGUGGAAUAUCCAGUGUAGAGGUGAAAUUCGUAGAUAUUGGAUGGAACACCAGUGGCGAAGGCGGCCAUCUGGUCCGGUACUGACGUUGAGGCGCGAAAGCGUGGGGAUCAAACAGG